UACAGAGGGUGCAAGCGUUAAUCGGAAUUACUGGGCGUAAAGCGUGUGUAGGUGGUUGGAUAAGUUAGAUGUGAAAUCCCCGGGCUUAACCUGGGCAUUGCGUUUAAAACUGUUUAACUAGAGUACUGUAGAGGAUAGUGGAAUUUCCAGUGUAGCGGUGAAAUGCGUAGAUAUUGGAAGGAACACCAGUGGCGAAGGCGACUAUCUGGACAGAUACUGACACUGAGACACGAAAGCGUGGGGAGCAAACAGG
rnacentral:rRNA from 1 species